rnacentral:rRNA from 1 species
UUUCCUACGGGAGGCAGCAGUAGGGAAUCUUUCACAAUGGGCGAAAGCCUGAUGGAGCAACGCCGCGUGCAGGAUGAAGGCCUUCGGGUUGUAAACUGCUUUUAUAAGCGAGAAAUAUGAUGGUAACUUAUGAAUAAGGAUCGGCUAACUACGUGCCAGCAGCCGCGGUAAUACGUAGGGGGCAAGCGUUAUCCGGAUUCACUGGGCGUAAAGGGAGCGCAGGCGGCAUGGCAAGUCUGAUGUGAAAACCCGGGGCCCAACCCCGGGAGUGCAUUGGAAACUGCCAGGCUGGAGUGUCGGAGGGG